rnacentral:rRNA from 1 species
GAUGAACGCUGGCGGCGUGCCUAACACAUGCAAGUCGAACGGAAAGACAAUGAUAUUGUGCCUUUAACGUUAGCGGGUGGCGGGCGAGUCACGCGUGUAUCAUACACUUCUAUUUCGGGAGGAAUAACGUAAAUCGGCGUAAGCUACGACCGCAUAUAUCCAACGGUUGUGUGCAUUGGAUAUUUUCGCCUUUCGGGAUUGUAUUAGCGGAUGCCGGAUUAGCUAGUUGGGUGGGUAAUGGCCUACCAAGGCAACGAUCCGUAGCUGGUCUGAGAGGAUGAUCGGCCACACUGGAACUGAGACACGGUCCAGACUCCUACGGGAGGCAGCAGUCGGGAAUCUUGGACAAUGGGCGCAAGCCUGACGCAGCAAUGCCGCGUGAGUGAAGAAGGCCUUCGGGUUGUAAAGCCCUUUUGUUGGGGAAGAACAGCUGUAGGUUGAUACCCGGCUGUUUUGACGGUACCUAAUGAAUAAGCACCGGCUAACUACGUG